GGGAUAUUAAACAGAAACAUAUUUUGACACUCCCCCUCAAGCUGGUGAAUAGGUGUUCUCCAUUCCCAGCUUGAAUACAAUUCUUUCAAAGUUGCUACUGUUUAUCCCUUUAGUUAGAAGAUCUGCAAGAUUGUCAUGGGAGGAAUUAUAUGGAGUACAAAUUAGGCCAAAAAGAAAUCUCAAGUUGCUGCAAUGAAGGCAGCAAAAAGGGACACAAUGUGGCUAAGAAAUAGAAACCGCAAUGAAGGCGGAAAAAGGACCACAAUGAAGGUGGCUAAGAUUUCACGAAAAUGGAAACCGCAAUGAAGGUGGCAAAAGGACCACAAUUAAGGUGGUUAAGAUUUUAGGAAAAUAGAAACCACAAUAAAGGCGGUAGUUUUAUGCGGAAGCAAGGGCCACAUGAAAGUGCCAUUCGGAAACUCAAUGGAUCAUAGUUUGGGACUCGUCUCAUAGCUGUUGACUGGGUACUGAGGAUGAUGUCGAGCAUGUUGACAAACAAUCUGAUCAUGGAGAUGAUAGUGAUACCAAUGGUGUCGUAGUAGAAGAUGUUCCUUCUAAAGAUGAUUUUGACAAGGAAGCAGAUAUUGCAAGAAAGGUUCAAGAUGCAAAUAGUAAAGCAUCUAAGGAGUCUGACAAGGUUUCAGGUGUUUCUAAGUCUGAAACUUCCAGCAGAGCAUGGGUGAAAGUAGUAAUAGUCAAUUUUCACAAUCUGAAGACGAUAACCAAGCUGAAUCUGAAAUGGCAAAUGAACAAGGUACUAGCGAUUCUGGCCCAUCUGUUCCCCACCUAAUGACCCGGUGAUUCUACUCCUGUCACUCAAACACUCCCUCCUCCUAUUGACAAAACGUCCAGCCGGCAAUGGUACAACACUCCCCCUCAAGCUAAAGCUUAACUUUAGCUUGCUACAACAAAACAAUGUUUCGCUCCACAAAAUAAUAAAAAAGAUGGAAAGGCAACUCAGGGAUACAUUUGAAGUCGGAGAAAAUUGCUAUAAAUAUAGCCUAGCCAGAUAGCCUGAUUGAUCAUCAGUCUGAGAGAAAUUCAUGGCAAGCAAUUGAACAAAGCAAGCUCCGUUCUUCUAAAAGACUGCAUUUGGAAGCUUCAAAACAAUAAUAUUGGAGAUUCAAAAUAUUUAAACUUGAAUAUGUUUCAAGGAGAGAGCGGCAUGCUUCAGGGAGAUAAAGGCACGAACAGUACAUCACAUCAUGAAAGGACUUCCAGAGGGGAACUGGAGACAGGUGCAUGCAUUCUCACGCAAUAAUGUAAGAACAAAAAAAAACAGGAAUAGCAGGUGAAGCUCCAACACCACAACUGCUUAACCUUCUUUUAGACUCAAUCGCACCAUGAACACUCAUAAUAAUAUACACAUUCUACAGAAAGUUUCCUUUCCAAUCACAAUUGACUCUGCAUUCUCAAAAAGAGGUUUGAACGCAGAACCCCCAAACUCUGCACAAACACCAAGGUCUGUUUGCUGAUUGUAUCGUAGGUCACUUUGUGGAAUCAAAAUGUGACCC